GUCAUCUUCAUUUAAAAUGAGCCUGAUAUUAUUUGUGGGACACUUUGUUCUAGAAGAUUAUUCUGAGCCGUGUUGAAAAAAAUCCUCUAAACGGGAUUGAGUGAUGGGCAGAUGCCAAGGAACUGGCAGUGGUUUUAUGGGCACUGAGAUUCUUCUUAUUUGGUUCCAUCCGCAUCACAAACAAGAAAAUAAAUGAUUUAGGGCUGGUUUGUGAGACAUGUAUUCCAGAAACGACAGAAAUAAUAACAGAGCCAAAGUUUGAUUUCCAGACCCAAGUCUGGCAGGGUGAAGCCAUUCUUGGUACCCAUAUGGUGCCUGGAAUGCAGAAUAAAAUGCUCUUAAGCUCCUCCCUUCCCUUCUUUCAUAGUAAAUUUAUCUGGAAGAAGCAUGGAUACCUGAGGAAGACUGGGCUCCAGGCAUGGAAUGCUGCAGACUGCAGAACUCUUUGAUUUUUCUUCAAAUGAAGAGGAA
rnacentral:lncRNA from 1 species